rnacentral:tRNA from 1 species
GCCGGGGUGGCGGAGUGGCUGUGGUGAAAAUAGCCACCAUAAAACGCGUCAGCCUCGAGAGCUGAUGGGCCCUAGCGGCCCCCAUGGGUUCAAGUCCCAUCCCCGGCG